AUCAGAGCUAUCAUGGCACAAUACAUGCCUCUGGACAGUCAAGGAGAAGUUCCAAAUCACGUCAACGAUGAACAUGCCUGAGAAUGACAAGCUACAUUAUUGAUCUUCUAGGAUUUCAAGUAAUGCUGGGUGAUGUGGUUCAAACUUCAUACCGUUCUCUUUAUCGAGUGGAGGAUUUUGAGCCUGAAUUAUAUGUCUGUACUGUAUAUGGACAAUAAAAAUUGCAGAUUAGAAUAUCCUGUUUACUGGAACCAUAACAUGCUCAAACUUUAAGGAUUGGAUUUGAGGCAGAUGAUAGGGAUUUGGCGAUAAUGUUUUAGAAUUUUCAUUUUCAUCCCUGAAUCUGUAUGGCGAUUCUGUAACUCAUUAACGCCAUUUGGACAGCUUCACCCUUUAUUUUUUUUUUUCUUUUGGC
rnacentral:misc_RNA from 1 species